rnacentral:tRNA from 1 species
GGGGAGAUUCCAGAGCGGUCAAAUGGGGCAGACUGUAAAUCUGUUGUCUACGACUUCGGAGGUUCGAAUCCUCCUCUCCCCA